GGUAACUGCAUUACAUUUGUUCUACAAGAUGAAGUAGGAGGCUUGCAACUCCUUAGGAAUGAAGAAUGGGUUCCUGUUGUUCCUGCAGAGGGAACCAUAGUUGUUAAUGUUGGUGAUGUUAUUCAGGUUUUGAGUAACAAAAAGUUCAAGAGUGCGACUCACAAAGUUGUAAGAAAAGGAGAAAAAAGUCGGUACUCUUUUGUGUUCUUCCAUAACUUAAAUGGAGAGAAAUGGGUUGAACCAUUGCCACAAUUCACCAAAGAUAUUGGGGAAAAACCUAAGUAUAAAGGGUUCCUUUAUAAGGAAUAUCAAGAGCUGAGAUUGAGGAACAAGACAGAUCCACCUUCUUGUCCUGAGGAUGUAAUCCACAUUACUCAUUAUGCAAUUGAUACUUAGACACUUGUUUUGUGUCUGGACUUAUAUAAAUUAGCAUGAAAUAAAUAUCCUUUGAUAUGUUUUAUAA